GACGAACGCUGGCGGCGUGCUUAACACAUGCAAGUCGAACGGAAAGACCCUGCUUUUGUGGGGUGCUCGAGUGGCGAACGGGUGAGUAACACGUGAGUAACCUGCCCUUGACUUUGGGAUAACUUCAGGAAACUGGGGCUAAUACCGGAUAGGAGCUCCUGCUGCAUGGUGGGGGUUGGAAAGUUUCGGCGGUUGGGGAUGGACUCGCGGCUUAUCAGCUUGUUGGUGGGGUAGUGGCUUACCAAGGCUUUGACGGGUAGCCGGCCUGAGAGGGUGACCGGCCACAUUGGGACUGAGAUACGGCCCAGACUCCUACGGGAGGCAGCAGCGGGGAAUAUUGCACAAUGGGCGGAAGCCUGAUGCAGCAACGCCGCGUGCGGGAUGACGGCCUUCGGGUUGUAAACCGCUUUCGCCUGUGACGAAGCGUGAGUGACGGUAAUGGGUAAAGAAGCACCGGCUAACUACGUG
rnacentral:rRNA from 1 species